UGGUCUGAUAUCGAGUUGCUGGACGAGCAGAAGAAUGCUAUGGAUGCAACCUGAAGGUCCAAGACUCAAUCCACUGAAGGCUCUCUCUCGUAAGAUGGUGGAUCUGAUGUCUGCUUUGUGGUCCUAUAGGACGACGCCAUGGAUUGGGGUCAGAGAUGCGCCUGAGAAGUGCUGUAAAUGCUGGCCAUAUGACUUCAACCUUCAUCCAACCAAACGAAGAGAUCCUGCUUUCCUGCACUCACACUAAUCCAUUGAGGAUGUUAGUUAAUUCAAAGACAAGAACAGUAUUUAGUUUUGUAAAUGCUUAACUACCACGCAA